CCUACGGGAGGCAGCAGUGAGGAAUAUUGGUCAAUGGACGAGAGUCUGAACCAGCCAAGUAGCGUGAAGGAUGACUGCUCUAUGGGUUGUAAACUUCUUUUAUAUGGGAAUAAAAUGUUCCACGUGUGGGAUUUUGUAUGUACCAUAUGAAUAAGGAUCGGCUAACUCCGUGCCAGCAGCCGCGGUAAUACGGAGGGUCCGAGCGUUAUCCGGAUUUAUUGGGUUUAAAGGGAGCGUAGGUGGAUUGUUAAGUCAGGUGUGAAAGUUUGCGGCUCAACCGUAAAAAUGCAGUUGAAACUGGCAGUCUUGAGUACAGGAGAGGUGGGCGGAAUUCGUGGUGUAGCGGUGAAAUGCUUAGAUAUCACGAAGAACUCCGAUUGCGAAGGCAGUUCACUGGACUGCAACUGACACUGAGGCUCGAAAGUGUGGGUAUCAAACAGGAUUAGAUACCCUGGUAGUC
rnacentral:rRNA from 1 species